CCCUUAGAUGUUCUGGGCUGCACGCGCGCUACACUGAUGCGUUCAACGAGUUUAUGACCUUGCCCGAUAGGGUUGGGUAAUCUUUUUAAAUCGCAUCGUGAUGGGGAUAGAUUAUUGCAAUUAUUAAUCUUCAACGAGGAAUUCCUAGUAAGCGCGAGUCAUCAGCUCGUGCUGAUUACGUCCCUGCCCUUUGUACACACCGCCCGUCGCUCCUACCGAUUGAACGUUUUAGUGAGGUACUCGGACUGAGCCUCAGAAGAUUCACGUCUUUUGUGCUGCUCGGGAAGAUUCCCAAACUUGAGCGUUUAGAGGAAGUAAAAGUCGUAACA
rnacentral:rRNA from 1 species